rfam:Gossypium raimondii Chr07_contig_1441, whole genome shotgun sequence.
UGUUAAAAGAUUCACCCAUUUGUACUGUUAACAACGAGUGUGACUGAUAGGGCAGCUAGAAUGAGGUACAUGUCUAGUUAUUCUAUCAGUUACGCCGGUUUUUAACAGUAGAAAUAGAUGAAAUUUUUAAUA